CUUUACUGUAACUUGAAAUUGAAAUUGGACUUUAUUCGCGCAGUAUAGGUGGGAGGCGUUGAUUAUAAUCUUGUGGGAUUAUUGGAGCCAUCAGUGAGAUACCACUCUUGUAAUGUUAGAUUUCUAACUUUGAAUCAUGAUCUGGUCAAAGAACAGUUUCAGGCGGGCAGUUUGACUGGGGCGGUCGCCUCCUAAACGGUAACGGAGGCGUACAAAGGUUUCCUCUGAACGGGUAGAAAUCGUAUCUAGAGUGUAAAGGCAUAAGGAAGCUUGACUGUGAGACCUACAAGUCGAGCAGGGACGAAAGUCGGUCUUAGUGAUCUGACGGUACUGAGUGGAAAGGCCGUCACUCAACGGAUAAAAGUUA
rnacentral:rRNA from 1 species